rnacentral:rRNA from 1 species
UGGCUCAGGACCGAACGCUGGCGGCGUGCCUAAUACAUGCAAGUAGAACGCUGAAGCUUGGUGCUUGCACCGAGCGGAGGAGUUGCGAACGGGUGAGUAACGCGUAGGUAACCUGCCUCUUAGCGGGGGAUAACUAUUGGAAACGAUAGCUAAUACCGCAUAAAAGUCGAUAUCGCAUGAUAUUGAUUUGAAAGGUGCAACUGCAUCACUAAGAGAUGGACCUGCGUUGUAUUAGCUAGUUGGUGAGGUAACGGCUCACCAAGGCGACGAUACAUAGCCGACCUGAGAGGGGAUCGGCCACACUGGACUAGACACGCCC